rnacentral:rRNA from 1 species
CCCGCACAAGCGGUGGAGCAUGUGGUUUAAUUCGAUGCAACGCGUAAGAACCUUACUACUCUUGACAUCCAGAGAAUUUGCUAGAGAUAGCUUAGUGCCUUCGGGAACUCUGAGACAGGUGCUGCAUGGCUGUCGUCAGCUCGUGUUGUGAAAUGUUGGGUUAAGUCCCGCAACGAGCGCAAACCCCUUAUCCUUUGUUGCCAGCGAGUAAUGUCGGGAACUCAAAGGAGACUGCCGGUGAUAAACCGGAGGAAGGUGGGGAUGACGUCAAGUCAUCAUGGCCCUUACGAGUAGGGCUACACACGUGCUACAAUGGCAUAUACAAAGAGAAGCGAACUCGCGAGAGCAAGCGGACCUCAUAAAGUAUGUCGUAGUCCGGAUUGGAGUCUGCAACUCGACUCCAUGAAGUCGGAAUCGCUAGUAAUCGUAGAUCAGAAUGCUACGGUGAAUACGUUCCCGGGCCUU